rnacentral:rRNA from 1 species
GAUGAACGCUGGCGGCGUGCCUAAUACAUGCAAGUCGAGCGAACAGACGAGGAGCUUGCUCCUCUGACGUUAGCGGCGGACGGGUGAGUAACACGUGGAUAACCUACCUAUAAGACUGGGAUAACUUCGGGAAACCGGAGCUAAUACCGGAUAAUAUAUUGAACCGGAUUGUUCAAUAGUGAAAGACGGUUUUGCUGUCACUUAUAGAUGGAUCCGCGCUGCAUUAGCUAGUUGGUAAGGUAACGGCCUACCAAGGCAACGAUGCGUAGCCGACCUGAGAGGGUGGUCGGCCACACUGGAACUGAGACACGGUCCAGACUCCUACGGGAGGCAGCAGUAGGGAAUCUUCCGCAAAGGGCGAAAGCCUGACGGAGCAACGCCGCGUGAGUGAUGAAGGUCUUCGGAUCGUAAAACUCUGUUAUUAGGGAAGAACAAAUGUGUAAGUAACUAUGCACGUCUUGACGGUACCUAAUCAGAAAGCCACGGCUAACUACGUG